GCCUCAGUGUACAGUGGUUUGUGUACAGAACUUUUCAGGGAAGAACGUGUAUUUAGGCAAAAAAAGGUCUUCUGUUUUGUUCACCUCUCGAUUCAGGAGUUUCUUGCUGCUCUUUAUGCAUUUUACUCCUAUGUGAACAGAAACUUCAAAGCUCUGAAGUCUCUCCUCACUGGUUGGGAGAGACAGCACUUCCUGGAAACGCUGCUGAAGGAUGCUGUGGACAAGUCCUUGGAGAGUGAAGAUGGACACUGGGACCUGUUUGUGCGGUUUCUUUUGGGGCUCUCACUGGAGUCAAACCAGAGGCUCCUACAGGGCCUGCUAACACAAACAGUGAGCAGCUCAGAGAGCAUUGAGAAAACCAUCAAAUAUACCAAAGAAAUUAUCCGCUACAAAGACAUCAAGGAACGGUGCAUGAAUCUCUUGCUUUGCUUGCUUGAAAUGAAUGACAAUUCCUUGCACACAGAGAUUCAAGAGUACCUGGAGUCUGGAAAAGAACUCUUUUCUUCUCACUGCUCAGUACUGGCCUAUACGAUUCUUGUCUCAGAAGAUGUACUCAAUGAACUUGACCUUCAGAAGUACACCACAACCAGUGAAGGUCGUGGACGGCUACUGGGAGCUGUGAGUGGCUGCAGAAAGGCGCGUCUGAUUGGCUGCUGUCUCACAAGCAAGUUCCUUAAGACAGUGACCUCAGCUCUUCAGUCAGAAACCUCUCAGCUAAGGCAUCUAAAUCUGAGUUACAAUGACCUGAAAGACUUGCAAAAUGAGCUCCUUAAUGCCAUCAAGUCUGAACAUUGCAAACUGGAAACACUUAUGCUAAAUUGUUGUGAACUGAAAGAGGAUUUCUGUGGCUUCAUAAGCUCCCUGCUCAAGUCAGAACACACAUGCUUGAAAGAGCUCGAUCUGAGCAACAAUGAUCUUUGUGAUGCAGGAGUAGAACAACUCUCAAAUGGGCUUAUGUCUCGUUGACAUAAAGUAAAGUUGAAGUUCUCAUGCUCUCAGGUUGUCUUGUAUCAGAGAGGGGCUUUGAAGUUUUAGCCUCAGUUCUAGAGUCCAACCAUUCCAACCUCAGAGAGCUGGAUUUGAGCUACAAUCACCCAAGUGAAACUGCAGUCUCACACAUCUCCUCUCUGGAACAGAACAAAGGCUAUAAACUGACAUCACUUAAUGUUGAACAUGGUGGAGAGUUGAGAUUGAAAGCAGGUCUGAGAAAAUAUGCCUGUGAGCUCACAAUGGACCCAAACACACCACACAAAGACAUAGCUCUGUCCAAGAAGGACACCAAGGCCAAACGAGGGAUCAUGCAACUAUACCCUCCCCACGAAGAGCGGUUCGAGGUCUUUGAACAAGUGCUGUGCAGAGAGGGUCUGACUGGACGCCGCUACUGGGAGGCUGAGUGGAGUCACAAAGGAGCUGCUAUUGCAGUGGCAUACAGAGGCAUAGAGAGGAAAGGAAAGGUUGACAGUGAGUUUGGAUCAGAUGACAAAUCCUGGAGUUUGAUGUGCUGUGAUAAUGUUUACAUUGUUAAGCACAAUGGUAAAAAUAUUGACAUACCAGUGCCACCGUCCAACCGAAACUGUAUAGGUGUGUAUCUGGACUGGCCAGCGGGAACAUUGUCUUUCUACAGAGUCUCUAAUGACACACAGGUGCAUUUGCACACUUUUUGUACAACAUUUACUGAGCCUGUGUAUCCAGGGUUUGGACUUGAAUAUGAUUCAUCUCUAUGUCUUUGUGAAAUUAAGUAGUUUUCUUUAUGAAGGUAUGCCAGGCAACCAUUUAUAAGAGUUUGUAUAUAUGUUUCUUUGUAUGUAUGUAUGCCAUUUGUACUGUGGCCGUUAUCAUGGCUACUGCAUGUGUAAUUUCAUCAAGGGCUAACCUCUAUUAGAUUCUAGGUCAUUUUCGAGUUCAUGUCUCCACCUGUCUCAAAAAUUAAACUGCUUCCCAUCAAACAAGUUUGUUUAUCUGAUGAAGACCAAGUGUCUAAAUGUUGCCAAAUAAACAGAGUGUGAACGCUG